CACCUGCACCUUAAAGUGAUUGUUUAUGUAAUUCAUUUACUUUCUUUAUUUGUGUCCUCUUGGUUAUUGGUGCUUUUUAUGUUGAAUCUUUUGUAGUUAUAGUUUACAUUAUUUAAUUUAUCAAUAUAUACAACAUACGGUUAGAAUGGCAUUUGGAUAACAGAGCAUUGUCGGUGAGAAUAUAUAGAUAUGUGUGUGUGUGUGUAUAUUUAUGUGUGUGUGUGUGUGUAUAUAUAUAUAUAACCAAGAGGGCUGAAAUCGCCUGAACAUGCAUACAUUAUAGGGUGCUGCUGGGGUCAAUAUAUACAACAUACAAAAUACAGAAUCCAGCGCAGUCGCUUAUUCACUAAACAAUGAUUUCAAAUCUCACAGAUUGUAAUAGUUUUAUUUAAAAACACCUCACCUAGGCAAAAAAUAAUGGGGGUUUAGCUACAUUAUAUGAUCAAAUAUUGCAUAAGCCUGCCAUUAUAGGCAUUAGGCUGCUAGAGUAGGACCUGCCAAGAAUGGGGUACAUUGACUUUGUGGCAGGCUUAUAUGUGAUUGUGCAUUUUGUUUAUAUAUAUAUAUCUCACGCAGACCAGGAAGCAGAAUGUAGAAUAUUGAUAUUCUAUGUUUCUGUUGAUUAUGUAUAGAUGUCUGGAUUGACAUAAGUAACAGAAUUAAUAACUCACAAGGCUUUCGUUGUCUGAGAACUCUGGAAUGUGGAUUGGGGGUCUUGUCCUUAUAUGGCUAGAGUUAUACUCUGACGUCAGCAUGGGUACAUCUAUAUAGUAACCGAACAAAGGGACAUGGCUCUUUUUCCUGUUCAGCUAUGUAACGAUAACUAUCCCUUCAGGAGUCCAGCAAUUACCAUCUGCUGUUUAACAUCCUUUGUUAUUUUAUUAUGUAUCAGUAACUCUAAGUGUAGACCUGAAGAAACCGUAACUCAGAUUGUGUAUUAGUACUUUUCAGUAAUAGAGACGUAUAUUAAUGUGGAGACAAAAGACAUAAAUAUAAAAUAAUUAUUCCAAUCAACCGGAAAAAGACACAGAUGAAACCAAGAUAUUAC